GACGAACGCUGGCGGCGUGCCUAACACAUGCAAGUCGAACGGGACUUGCCCCUUCGGGGACAAGUUUAGUGGCGAACGGGUGAGUAACGCGUGAGGAACCUGCCUUUUCACUGGGGGACAACAGUUGGAAACGACUGCUAAUACCGCAUAAGCGCACAGCUUCGCAUGAAGCAGUGUGAAAAACUCCGGUGGUACAAGAUGGACCCGCGUCUGAUUAGCUGGUUGGUGAGGUAACGGCCCACCAAGGCGACGAUCAGUAGCCGACCUGAGAGGGUGACCGGCCACAUUGGGACUGAGACACGGCCCAA
rnacentral:rRNA from 1 species